AUCGAUUAAAUAAAUUCGAUUCAUUGUUAUGCAAUGCAAAUCAAUUGAACGAACAGAGACGGUUUUGGAGUCGAUAGAUAUGUACAUAAUUGGCGAAGUUUUGGUUUAAUGGGAUAAUAUUUAGGGAAGGAUGAAUGGUGGCGUAUGGAUUGUGAGGGUGAGAUGGGUGACCUAAAAAUCUAAAGGCGAUUUAUAAAUCCCUAUAUAAAGACGGGUUUCCUGAUCAGAUUAAACUUUUUGAAGAGUCAGAGUGGAUUAUUUAUUGGAAAAUGAGAGCCGUGGUGAUUUUUCUGGUAAGAAGAAUUUAGUGGAAAUUAUUCAUUUAAGGUUUUUAAGUAUUGAAGGAAUUUACGGAAUCAUUUUGGCAACUUGGAAAGUCUGUAGUUUGUUAUGCGUGGGUGUGACGGUGGUCCUUGGACGGCCCCAAUUUGGCGGAGGGGAUGACGGGGAUGACGGUGGAUUUGGGGACUUUGGCGGGGGUGGGGAUGACAGUGGGGGCGGCGGCGGUGGGGGAGAUUUUGGCGGAGAUGAUGAUGGCGGCGACUUCGGGGCAGACUUUGGUGGUGGAGAGAGCAGUGGGGGAGAUGGUGGUGGGGGAGGAGGAGGAGGGCAUAAUCCCCACCCACCAGGUCAUCCCGGUCACGGAGGUGGUGGCGGUGGUGGGGGAGGAUUUGGCGGGGAUAGUCCACGACGAGGGAGCCGCAGCAGCGCCAGCGGUGGGGCAGGAUUCGCCGGAUUUUAAAUCCACCCCCAUUUCUUCAGAAACUUGUAACAUGACAAAAUUUCCAGAAAUUUGCAACCGCACAGAGUUGUAAUAAAUGACAAGACUCAAGACUUAGAUUUUCACCGGGUUUACAUAUUUAUCUAAUACUCACAAGUUUGCAAGGACAAUUUGUUUUAUAAAAAAAACUUACUUUCUUUUUCUAAACUGAUCCUACAAUGUAUUUAGUAGUUUGGAAAACUGUUUAAGCACACUAUACGUAAGUAAACCUCGUAUUUUCCGACGUUUAUUUCAUCCGGGUAUUUAAAUAUGUUACAGGGCACAGUAUGUAGUAUUCAAUAAAAAGAAAUUUUCGUAAUAA